GAUCCUGGCUCAGGACAACGCUGGCGGCGUGCCUAACACAUGCAAGUCGAACGAAGCUGCGAUGAAGGAGGCUUCGGCCAAUGGAUUCGUAGACUUAGUGGCGGACGGGUGAGUAAUGCGUGAGCAACCUGCCCUUCAGAGGGGGACAACAGUUGGAAACGACUGCUAAUACCGCAUAAUGUUUUUGGAAGGCAUCUUCCGGGAACCAAAGAUUUAUCGCUGAAGGAUGGGCUCACGUCUGAUUAGCUAGUUGGUGAGGUAACGGCUCACCAAGGCUGCGAUCAGUAGCCGGACUGAGAGGUUGAACGGCCACAUUGGGACUGAGAUACGGCCCAGACUCCUACGGGAGGCAGCAGUGGGGAAUAUUGGGCAAUGGGCGCAAGCCUGACCCAGCAACGCCGCGUGAAGGAAGAAGGCUUUCGGGUUGUAAACUUCUUUAUGAGGAACGAAGGACGUGACGGUACCUCAUGAAUAAGCCACGGCUAACUACGUGCC
rnacentral:rRNA from 1 species